UGGUGGCACUGUUUAGCACUGGUCAGGC
rnacentral:piRNA from 1 species